AAAAGAUUGAUUAUUAGAUAAUAUUGUAUGGAAAAAUUAUGGUGGAAGUCUAGGUUUAUCAGAAACAAACAUAAGACAAUAGAUUCUGACAUCUCAACAGAAGAAGAGAGAAACCACAAGUCAAGCUACAUGUUUAUGUGGGCGACAAAUGUUGACAGUCAAACAACUGAAUCUAGUCUUGCAACAGUACAUCAAAUCGACAUGUCGCAUCUUACCCUCUUCACGAUCAGUUUGGUCCUCUGGUCAACAAAAUGAGACACAAUGCCAACUCUGCAAAGGCCAAAACAGCUAAAGCAUAAGCCUGCAGCAGAUUUUCUUCAACUCAUGGAAGCUGGUUGUACAGCACAAGUGGCUUAGAGUUGUAGAAUGGACUCAGCUUUCAAGAUCCAAUACUCCAUGACAAGUAUCAAAUGGCUUCUGAUUUCACCUUACAAAAUUGGAGGCAGAAUAAAAAUUAGAUGAAGCCAAUUAUGAACACAAGCAAAAACAGCAUGGAUACCAAAUGGGCCCUAACAGAGUAGAUUUAACAGACUAAAGUACUAAGAGUUUCAAAACAGCAAAGGCAGACUAACUGCAGUAGCAAGGAUUACUCAUUGCCACAGCCAGACCACAAAAAGCACCAUCACAGCCUUGCCAAAAGAAAUCCCCAUAAAUAAGGUACCCUCAGUGAGCAUUGAAUCCCAAAGAGAAAGAUACGGAACCAUAGCUUUGUUAUCUGGGUCCCACCUUAGAAACGCAAUUAGUUCUCAAUUAUUAUCAUUGUAGCUAAAUAAAUAGGGGACCAUGAAAAGGACUUGUCACCUUUAUAGAACUAUGUUUCAUGUCAGCAAUCAGUCUUAUAUAAUAAUCUCAAGUUCUGAACCAACCAAUGCAGUCUCUCUACCAGGUUUCCAAGUUUAAAAAAUAUGCCAACUCUGAAAGCUGUAAAUGAACUGAUUGAGAAGUUUCAGGAACAAUAGUCAUCUAUCUUCACCAAUGGCAAAUCCUCUGCCACAUAAUCGUAUUACUUUUAGUUCUUAAAUGACUGAUGUUUCUUCCUCACCUUGCUUUAAUAAAUCUAAAAGCCUCUCAUAAGAUGACAUGAAAUCUUUUUUCAUGACAGUUAUCUGUUCAAGUCAUCUUCAUUCAAAACAAAAUGGAUUCCUUUUAGUAAAUCACAUGGGAUUCGUUCAUAAAAAGUCCAUUUUGGCUUUACAUCAAUCUGGCAUAAGUGAUGUUCCUAACUGGUACAUACAAUACCAGAUAUCACAGUCAAACUAAUUUAUUAAUGCUUCUGAAGGCGUGGUCUCUCAAAAGAAUAUUUUGAUUAGCACCAAAAAAUUACCCUCCCAAAGAGAUGAAAGGAAAAUCCUUUUGGGUAAUUACCGACAGCCCCUAACAGUAGAUUCUGAUAUACAUCAAAAGAAAUGUACUUUUUUUAAAUGAAAUAAUUUAAAAAUACUCACUGUAUGGGAGCAUUGAUCCAGGAAUCCAUAAAACUGUGACAACCAUCUAACAUGACCUGGAAAAUAGACUUCCUACAAAACUAAGAUUAUUUAAAUACAGUACCAAGUAACAAAAUUUUAUAUUUGAAAUAAGAAAUACAAUGUUAAAUUCUCACCAUUAAAAAAGAGAUGCUCAAAGUAACUUCAAGGAAUUGCAUAAGCCCAUACAUUUCCUUGUCCAAGAAUCAGAAAGGCAUUUGCCGCCAAUGGAACAAGAUCUUGUAUCUUUUCAGCAGCAAAUAUUGCUUGAAUAACUAGUAGCAAAGGAAGAAAAAAUAAUAAGAAACCAAAAUUGAAGAAAAAGAAAGAAACAAAAAACAACCGAUAAUUUAUGCCACAAAGCUGAACUUCUUCAAGCCAAAAAAGUACAAAUCACUAAACAUUCAGGGGAAGAAAAGCUGCAAAGUGUUCAUUCGACAAAAUUUUUCCCUUUCAUUGAGAUGUUGAUGCACAAUUGCUCCACAAUACAAACAUUUCAUAUGCUAGGUGAUGAUAUUCAAGUAUUGUUCAAUGAUGAUAAAGCAACAUAACAAAAGGAUAAGAUUUAAAAUAAAAUUGAAAAAUAUGCAAAAGAAGAAAGAGGCUCACAAAAACCUGAGAUUUGCAUUAACUUUUCCUGACUCUCAUCUCCAUCA
rnacentral:misc_RNA from 1 species